rnacentral:rRNA from 1 species
AUUGAACGCUGGCGGCAGGCCUAACACAUGCAAGUCGAACGAGUGGCGGACGGGUGAGUAAUGUCUGGGAAACUGCCUGGUGGAGGGGGAUAACUACUGGAAACGGUAGCUGAUACCGCAUACCAUCAAAUGUGCCCCGAUGGGAUUGGCUAGUUGGUGGGGUAACGGCUCACCAAGGCGACGAUCCCUUGCUGGUCUGAGAGGAUGACCAGCCACACUGGAACGGAGACACGGUCAAGACUCGUACGGGAGGCAGCAGUGGGGAAUAUGGCACAAGGGGCGCAAGCCUGAUGCAGCCAGGCCGCAUGUAUGAAGAAGGCCUUCGGGUUGUAAAGUACUUUCAGCGGGGAGGCGUUACCCGCAGAAGAAGCACCGGCUAACUCCGUGCCAGCCGCCGCGGUAAUUC